rnacentral:rRNA from 1 species
UACGAGGGGAGCAAGCGUUGUUCGGAUUUACUGGGCGUAAAGGGCGCGUAGGCGGCCACGACAAGUCACUUGUGAAAUCUCCGGGCUUAACUCGGAACGGUCAGGUGAUACUGUCGGGCUAGAGUACAGAAGGGGCAACUGGAAUUCUCGGUGUAGCGGUGAAAUGCGUAGAUAUCGAGAGGAACACCUGUGGUGUAGACAGCUUACUGGACCACUUCUGACGCUGAGACACGAAAGCGUGGGUAGCAAACAGG